rnacentral:ribozyme from 1 species
AGCAAUACUGCACUAGUAAGGUAUGGAUCCGAAACCUCUUGAAGGGUAACAAAGGCUCUCCAUACCCUACUUCGACUCAAUACGUCCCCGGCGUAUAGAACGGUAACAUGUCUCGCACAAAUAUCUGAACUUGGGUAUACGGGGAAACCCAACCACUUGGGAGGAUGGGUGAUAUGGCUAAAUUGAGCGGA